GACAGGUGCUGGGUUAUACGUCCUUACCUUUCCUCUCACUAGUGGAGAAAAGUUCAAGGCACUGCUAAAAAUCCCUGACCAGCGCAAAUCCUUGAAUAUGCAGACUGCCUGGACUUGAUUUGCAAACAAACAUACAGCUGGGGCUUUGGGCCACCAAAUGAAGAGGAUUUUAUGGUUCUGAAUGUGGAACAGCUGGAACACUGGCACUGUGAAGGGGUUUGGUUUGGAGAAACCAGUGGAAAAUCAAGAUGAGGACCUGAAAGAAGAGAAUGGAAAUAAUGAGGGUGAAAUAUCUUUGGAGCAAAUUCAUAUGCUGUCAUCAAAUACAGAAGCCACAUGUUUGCAAAGAAUGUUGUCAUCUACAGCCCUUGUAUAAGGAUAAGAUCUUUAGCACAAUCUCCUCCUCAUAAGGGGAAGUGAGAAGAUUGAAGAUACAGUUGAAGUGAAAAUUUUUUGGAAAAAAAUAAAAGGCCAUGUAUGUCAAAUAUAAGUUUCUAAUUGUAUCUAAGGCACUGAGUAUGUUCUCUAAUAACACACUGUAGAAAUCAGGUGUAUAUAAAAUUUUUUUUUUAAUUAGAAAAGCUAGCUCUAAAGGUCAAGUCCUUAUAGAGCCUUUAAAAUUUCUGUCCAGUAAGUUGACAGUUUCCAAAGUAAUUAAUUACUUUGUUCUGAAAGAAGUAUAUCCUUCAUGCUAAGGUAAGAUAAGAAAAUUAGGGAUUUGAGUUAGCUCUCACCAUUUGACCUAACAAUUGGCAAUAUAAAAUUGUG